rnacentral:lncRNA from 1 species
GAGAUGUCUUGAGAAACGUGCUUGCUGUAAAUCAUAUUGUACCGCUGAAGUGACCGGGGCCAUCCCCUGCUUCCAUCCGCUGCCACCAUGCAAAGACCAGAGCUCCCACCAGCCCAGGGAACACUUUUCCUAGCACAGGACUGAUGUCCUGCAGCACCUCGCCUAUAGAGCAGCAAAUACUGCCAAAAGCCUCUCAUCUAAAACAAUACUGGGGAGCCAAAGAAUGAGACUUUUCCUGCCCCUGAAAGGGACUUGUUAGCAGUGUCUCCAUGCUUUGAAAAUGGAUCCCCUUAGAGCACAAUGAGUGCUCCUGGCUGAAGCAGCAUCCCAGCUCUGCUUCCCCAGGGUAAAAUUAACGACCCAGUGCUUUCACACCUCCUUCCGAAGCAUUGCAGAGGGGACAACACCUCCACCGGGGCUGGAUAACUCCCUUCCCUCCUGUGGGAGCUGUGCCUGUGACCAGCUGCAAACCAGCACAGCCAGAGGGCACAGCCCGAGCCCUUCCUGUGGUCCCAAGUGCAUGGCCCCCAGCUAUCCCAGCACCAUCACCUGCUUUGUAAAUGUAGAUGUUUGACAUGCGAGUUUUACAGCUAAAGAGUG